rnacentral:rRNA from 1 species
AUUGAACGCUGGCGGCAUGCCUUACACAUGCAAGUCGAACGGUAACGGGCCUUCGGGUGCCGACGAGUGGCGAACGGGUGAGUAAUACAUCGGAACGUGCCCGAUCGUGGGGGAUAACGAGGCGAAAGCUUUGCUAAUACCGCAUACGAUCUACGGAUGAAAGCAGGGGACCGCAAGGCCUUGCGCGGACGGAGCGGCCGAUGGCCGAUGAGGUAGUUGGUGGGAUAAAAGCUCACCAAGCCGACGCUCUGUAGCUGGUCUGCGAGGAUGAUCGGCCACACUGGGACUGAGACACGGCCCAGACUCCUACGGGAGGCAGCAGUGGGGAAUUUUGGACAAUGGGCGCAAGCCUGAUCCAGCCAUGCCGCGUGCAGGAUGAAGGCCUUCGGGUUGUAAACUGCUUUUGUACGGAACGAGACGCCUUCUUCUAAUACAGGAGGUUCAUGACGGUACCGUAAGAAUAAGCACCGGCUAAUUACGUGCCAGCAGCCGCCGUAA